rnacentral:rRNA from 1 species
CAAUCCCGCAUACGUUCCUACGGGAAGAAAGCUGGGCAACUGGCGCUCAUUGCGGAGCUCGCGGCCCAUUAGCUAGUUGGGGGGGUAACGGCCUCCCAAGGCGACGAUGGGUAGCCGGCCUGAGAGGGUGAACGGCCACACUGGGNCUGAGACACGGCCCAGACUCCUACGGGAGGCAGCAGUAGGGAAUCUUCCACAAUGGGCGCAAGCCUGAUGGAGCAACGCCGCGUGAGUGAAGACGGCCUUCGGGUUGUAAAGCUCUGUCUGUCGGGACGAAGACCGGGACGGGAGUCCCGGGGAGCCGGUACCGACGAAGGAAGCCCCUGCAAACUACGUGCCAGCAGCCGCGGUAAGACGUAGGGGGCAAGCGUUGUCCGGAAUUACUGGGCGUAAAGGGCGUGUAGGCGGUGCGAUACGUAGCGGUUU